UACGUAGGGAGCGAGCGUUGUCCGGAAUUACUGGGUGUAAAGGGAGCGUAGGCGGGAUUGCAAGUUGGAUGUGAAAACUGCGGGCUCAACCCGGAGCGUGCAUUCAAAACUGCGAUUCUUGAGUGAAGUAGAGGCAAGCGGAAUUCCUAGUGUAGCGGUGAAAUGCGUAGAUAUUAGGAGGAGCACCAGUGGCGAAGGCGGCCUGCUGGGCUUUUACUGACGCUGAGGCUCGAAAGUGUGGGGAGCAAACAGG
rnacentral:rRNA from 1 species